rnacentral:rRNA from 1 species
CAUUCCAGUUUGGGAGAGGUAUGGCUCACCAAGGCUACGAUGGGUAGGGGUUCUUAGUGGAAGGUCCCCCACACUGGCACUGAGAUACGGGCCAGACUCCUACGGGAGGCAGCAGUAGGGAAUAUUGGUCAAUGGGCGCAAGCCUGAACCAGCCAUGCCGCGUGCAGGAUGAAAACUCUCUGAGUUGUAAACUGCUUUUGUACAGGAGCAAAAAAGUCCCUGCGGGGAUUCUUGAGAGUACUGUAAGAAUAAGCACCGGCUAAUUCCGUGCCAGCAGCCGCGGUAAUACGGAAGGUGCAAGCGUUAUCCGGUUUUAUUGGGUUUAAAGGGUGCGUAGGCGGCUUAUUAAGUCAGUAGUGAAAUCCUAGUGCUUAACGCUAGAACUGCAAUUGAUACUAUUAGGCUUGAGUUAGAAGAGGUAA